AUUGAACGCUGGCGGCAGGCCUAACACAUGCAAGUCGAGCGGAUGAGAGGAGCUUGCUUCUCGAUUCAGCGGCGGACGCGUGAGUAAUGCCUAGGAAUCUGCCUGGUAGUGGGGGACAACGUUUCGAAAGGAACGCUAAUACCGCAUACGUCCUACGGGAGAAAGCAGGGGACCUUCGGGCCUUGCGCUAUCAGAUGAGCCUAGGUCGGAUUAGCUAGUUGGUGAGGUAAUGGCUCACCAAGGCGACGAUCCGUAACUGGUCUGGGAGGAUGAUCAGUCACACUGGAACUGAGACACGGGCCAGACUCCUACGGGAGGCAGCAGUGGGGAAUAUUGGACAAUGGGCGAAAGCCUGAUCCAGCCAUGCCGCGUGUGUGAAGAAGGUCUUCGGAUUGUAAAGCACUUUAAGUUGGGAGGAAGGGUUGUAGAUUAAUACUCUGCAAUUUUGACGUUACCGACAGAAUAAGCACCGGCUAACUCUGUGCCAGCCGCCGCCGUAACAC
rnacentral:rRNA from 1 species